rnacentral:rRNA from 2 species
CCCGCGGGGCGUAUUAAGCUAAGUGUGAGUUAACGGCUCAUCAGGCAUGUACGUAGCGAACUGAGAGGUGGAUCCGUCACAUGGACUGAGAACACGGCCAACUCUACGGGAGGCAGCAGUAGGGAUCUCACAUGACGCAAGUCUGAUGGAGCACGCCGCGUGAGGUGAAGAAGCUUUCGGGUCGUAAAACUCUGUGUUGGAGAAGAAUGGUCGGCAGAGUAACUGUUGUCGGCGUGACGGUAUCCAACCAGAAAGCCACGGCUAACUACGUGCCAGCAGCCGCGGUAAUACGUAGGUGGCAAGCGUUAUCCGGAUUUAUUGGGCGUAAAGCGAGCGCAGGCGGUUUUUUAAGUCUGAUGUGAAAGCCCUCGGCUUAACCGAGGAAGUGCAUCGGAAACUGGGAAACUUGAGUGCAGAAGAGGACAGUGGAACUCCAUGUGUAGCGGUGAAAUGCGUAGAUAUAUGGAAGAACACCAGUGGCGAAGGCGGCUGUCUGGUCUGUAACUGACGCUGAGGCUCGAAAGCAUGGGUAGCGAACAGGAUUAGAUACCCUGGUAGUCCAUGCCGUAAACGAUGAAUGCUAGGUGUUGGAGGGUUUCCGCCCUUCAGUGCCGCAGCUAACGCAUUAAGCAUUCCGCCUGGGGAGUACGACCGCAAGGUUGAAACUCAAAGGAAUUGACGGGGGCCCGCACAAGCGGUGGAGCAUGUGGUUUAAUUCGAAGCAACGCGAAGAACCUUACCAGGUCUUGACAUCUUUUGAUCACCUGAGAGAUCAGGUUUCCCCUUCGGGGGCAAAAUGACAGGUGGUGCAUGGUUGUCGUCAGCUCGUGUCGUGAGAUGUUGGGUUAAGUCCCGCAACGAGCGCAACCCUUAUGACUAGUUGCCAGCAUUUAGUUGGGCACUCUAGUAAGACUGCCGGUGACAAACCGGAGGAAGGUGGGGAUGACGUCAAAUCAUCAUGCCCCUUAUGACCUGGGCUACACACGUGCUACAAUGGAUGGUACAACGAGUUGCGAGACCGCGAGGUCAAGCUAAUCUCUUAAAGCCAUUCUCAGUUCGGACUGUAGGCUGCAACUCGCCUACACGAAGUCGGAAUCGCUAGUAAUCGCGGAUCAGCACGCCGCGGUGAAUACGUUCCCGGGCCUUGUACACACCGCCCGUCACACCAUGAGAGUUUGUAACACCCGAAGCCGGUGGCGUAACCCUUUUAGGGAGCGAGCCGUCUAAGGUGACAAAAAAUUG